GUCAUUCCCGUAGCUAGCAUGUGCAUGUGUUGGUCGUGGCCGUGGUGAGUGGAGUCUCCGAGCCGGCCGAGUCUCUGUGCGGCAGUUCCUGCAUGUGUGGUGCGUGGGAGCUGCGUCUCCGCAGGCUACAAAGCCGGCCAUUUCCAGGUUGUUAGCAGCGUGCAUGUAGCUAGGUAGUUAGUGCAUGGGUUAGUGGCCGAUCUGGCGUGCGUGCCUCUGGGUAUUAAAGUGGCCACGGUGCUGGUGUGUAGGUGCGCCAGAGAAGAGAGAUGUAGCCUCUCAGUGUAUGUGUGCUCACCGUGAGGGUGUGUGUGUUGAGUUUGAGCUCAAGGAAAGCGUUCGUGCGCUGGCAAACCCUCCCCGUGUCCUUCCUCUUCAUGUUGUCUUCGUCCUCCUCGUGUCGUUCGAGCGCAGCAGCGAGGGAGAGCGUGUGUGGGCUAGCGAGGGAGAAGGCCACGGUAACAACAAUUGGUAUCGGAGCAUUGGGUUCGGAGGAGCUCGCCGGCGAUGGCGCUCGUCCCGUGCGGCGGCGGAGCACGGUGACGCCGUGCGUAGGGGGAGCGCGGCGGCCGCGGCGGACCUGCGCGGUGGCGCAGAGGCCGCGGUGGCGCGGCGCGGCUCGGCGAAGGGAAGGCCAAGCUCCGGGACACGCCGGAUCGGCCACGUUGGUCGCGUCGGAGCGCGAUCAUGGCGCGGGCUGGUGGCGUGCGGAGCGUGGCAGAACAAGCCGCGGCGACGGGCUCACUGCGUCGGGCGCGUGUAUGGGCGCGUGCCAGACGUAGCGGGCACAUCGGGACCGUGGGUGCGGACCACGUCGGGGCGCUGGACCUGGUGCGCAUAUCGCGUACGUGCGUGGCGGGAGCGCGAGGACUUGGGGUGUGCGCGGCGAAGGGCACGGCGGCACGGUGGCAGGCGUGGCAGCGACGUCGGGGCGGUGGCGGCUACAACGACGUCGACGGCGCGGUGGAGCGCGCGCUGCGGGCGGACAGCAGCGUUGAGGACGUCGGUCUCCUCUAGGCCAUGGCUUAUGGGGAGAGUGUUGGCCGCUGUAAGCCGCGGCGUGUGCGGGCGCGCGCUGGCCGCGUCGGGUGCGUCAUUCCCGUAGCUAGCAUGUGCAUGUGUUUGUCAUGGCCGUGGUGAGUGGAGUCUCCGAGCCGGCCGAGUCUCUGUGCGGCAGUUCCUGCAUGUGUGGUGCGUGGGAGCUGCAUCUCCGCAGGCUACAAAGCCGGCCAUUUCCAGGUUGUUAGCAGCGUGCAUGUAGCUAGGUAGUUAGUGCAUGGGUUAGUGGCCGAUCUGGCGUGCGUGCCUCUGGGUAUUAAAGUGGCCACGGUGCUGGUGUGUAGGUGCGCCAGAGAAGAGAGAUGUAGCCUCUCAGUGUAUGUGUGCUCGCCGUGAGGGUGUGUGUGUUGAGUUCAAGCUCAAGGAAAGCGUUCGUGCGCUGGCAAACACUCCCCAUGUCCUUCCUCUUCUUGUUGUCUUCGUCCUCCUCGUGUCGUUCGAGCGCAGCAGCGAGGGAGAGCGUGUGUGGGCUAGCGAGGGAGAAGGCCACGGUAACAACAAUUGGUAUCGGAGCAUCGGGUUCGGAGGAGCUCGCCCGCGAUGGCGCUCGUCCCGUGCGGCGGCGGAGCACGGUGAUGCCGUGCGUAGGGGGAGCGCGGCGGCCGCGCCGGACCUGCGCGGUGGCGCAGAGGCUGCGGUGGCGCGGCGCGGCUCGGCAGAGGGAAGGCCAAGCUCCGGGACACGCCGGAUCGGCCGCGUUGGUCGCGUCGGACCGCGAUCAUGGCGCGGGCUGGUGGCGUGCGGAGCGUGGCAGAACAAGCCGCGGCAACGGGCUCACCGCGUCGGGCGCGUGUAUGGGCGCGUGCCAGACGUAGCGGGCACAUCGGGACCGCGGGUGCGGACCAUGUCGGGGCGCUGGACCUGGUGCGCAUAUCGCGUACGUGCGCGGCGGGAGCGCGAGGACGUGGGGGGUGCGCGGGGAAGGGCACGGCGGCACGGUGGCAGGCGUGGCAGCGACGUCGGGGCGGUGGCGGCUACAACGACGUCGACGGCGCGGCGGAGCGCGCGUUGCGGGCGGACGGCAGCGUCGAGGACGUCGGUCUCCUCUAGUCCACGGCUUAGGGGGAGAGUGUUGGCCGCUGUAAGCCGCGGCGUGUGCGGGCGCGCGCUGGCCGCGUCGGGUGCGUCAUUGCCGUAGCCAGCAUGUGCAUGUGUUGGUCGUGGCCGUGGUGAGUGGAGUCUCCGAGCCGGCCGAGUCUCUGUGCGGCAGUUCCUGCAUGUGUGGUGCGUGGGAGCUGCGUCUCCGCAGGCUUCAAAGCCGGCCAUUUCCAGGUUGUUAGCAGCGUGCAUGUAGCUAGGUAGUUAGUGCAUGGGUUAGUGGCCGAUCUGGCGUGCGUGCCUCUGGGUAUUAAAGUGGCCACGGUGCUGGUGUGUAGGUGCGCCAGAGAAGAGAGAUGUAGCCUCUCAGUGUAUGUGUGCUCGCCGUGAGGGUGUGUGUGUUGAGUUCGAGCUCAAGGAAAGUGUUCGUGCGCUGGCAAACCCUCGCCGUGUCCUUCCUCUUCCUGUUGUCUUCGUCCUCCUCGUGUCGUUCGAGCGCAGCAGCGAGGGAGAGCGUGUGUGGGAUAGCGAGGGAGAAGGCCACGGUAACACCAAUUGGUAUCGGAGCAUCGGGUUCGGAGGAGCUCGCCGGCGAUGGCGCUCGUCCCGUGAGGCGGCGGAGCACGGUGACGCCGUGCGUAGGGGGAGCGCGGCGGCCUCGGCAGACCUGCGCGGUGGCGCAGAGGCUGCGGUGGCACGGCGCGGCUCGACGGAGGGAAGGCCAAGCUCCGGGACACGCCGGAUCGGCUGCGUUGGUCGCGUCGGAGCGCGAUCAUGGCGCGGGCUGGUGGCGUGCGGAGCGUGGCAGAACAAGCCGCGGCGAUGGGCUCACCGCGUCGGGCGCGUGUAUGGGCGCAUGCCAGACAUAGCGGGCACAUCGGGACCGCGGGUGCGGACCACGUCGGGGCGCUGGACCUGGUGCGCAUAUCGCAUACGUGCGCGGCAGGAGCGCGAGGACAUGGGGUGUGCGCGGCGAAGGGCACGGCACGGGGGCAGGCGUGGCAGCGGCGUCGGGGCGGUGGCGGCUACAACGACGUCGACAGCGCGGCGGAGUGCGCGCUGCGGGCGGACGGCAGCGUCGAGGACGUCGGUCUCCUCUAGGCCACGGCUUAGGGGGAGAGUGUUGGCCGCUGUAAGCCGCGGCGUGUGCGGGCGCACGCUGGCCGCGUCGGGUGCGUCAUUGCCGUAGCUAGCAUGUGCAUGUGUUGGUCGUGGCCGUGGUGAGUGGAGUCUCCGAGCCGUCCGAGUAUUUGUGCGGCAGUUCCUGCAUGUGUGGUGCGUGGGAGCUGCAUCUGGGCAGGCUACAAAGCCGGCCAUUUCCAGGUUGUUAGCAGCGUGCAUGUAGCUAGGUAGUUAGUGCAUGGGUUAGUGGACGAUCUGGCGUGCGUGCCUCUGGGUAUUAAAGUGGCCACGGUGCUGGUGUGUAGGUGCGCCAGAGAAGAGAGAUGUAGCCUCUUAGUGUAUGUGUGCUCGCUGUGAGGGUGUGUGUGUUGAGUUUGAGCUCAAGGAAAGCGUUCGUGCGCUGGCAAACCCUCCCUGUGUCCUUCCUCUUC
rnacentral:lncRNA from 1 species